rnacentral:rRNA from 1 species
UACGGAGGGUGCGAGCGUUGUCCGGAAUCACUGGGCGUAAAGGGCGCGUAGGCGGCGUCGUGAGUCAACGGUGAAAGCUCAGGGCUCAACCCUGAGUCGGCCGUCGAUACUGCGAGGCUUGAGCACUGUAGAGGCAGGUGGAAUUCCGGGUGUAGCGGUGGAAUGCGUAGAGAUCCGGAAGAACACCGGUGGCGAAGGCGGCCUGCUGGGCAGUAG